GAUUAGGCAUGCAAGUCGAACGGGAAGCCGUUGAUCAAUCUUCGGAGAGUGAUUCGGUGGAGAGUGGCGGAAGGGUGAGUAACGCGUGGAUAAGCUACCCUCAAGUCGGGGACAACCUCGGGAAACUGAGGCUAAUACCGGAUGUGGUCCUCCUUCCUAAGAAGGAGUGACUAAAGGUGGGGCUCCUUCGGGACCUGCCGCUUGGGGAGGUGUCCGCGUGCCAUCAGCUUGUUGGUAGGGUAACGGCCUACCAAGGCUUACGGCUAGCUGGUCUGAGAGGAUGACCAGCCACACUGGGACUGAGACACUGCCCAGACUCCUACGGGAGGCUGCAGUCGAGGAUCAUUCGCAAUGCGCGAAAGCGUGACGAUGCGACGCUGCGUGGAGGAAAGGCUUUCGGGUUGUAAACUCCUGUCAUGAGGGAAAAGACGUCUUGGGGAUAAUACCCCCGAGACCCGAUGGUACCUCAAGAGGAAGCCACGGCUAACUCUGUGCCAGCAGCCGCGGUAAUACAGAGGUGGCGAGCGUUGUUCGGAUUUACUGGGCGUAAAGCGUGUGUAGGCGGUAUCGUAUGUCAGAUGUGAAAUCCCACGGCCCAACCGGGGAACUGCAUCUGAAACUGCGGAACUAGAGUACAGGAGGGGAGAGCGGAAUUCUUGGUGUAGCGGUGAAAUGCGUUGAUAUCAAGAAGAACACCGGUGGCGAAGGCGGCUCUCUGGAAUGUUACUGACGCUCAGACACGAAAGUUGGGGGAGCAAACAGGAUUAGAUACCCUGGUAGUCCCAACCGUAAACGGUGUGCACUUGGUGUAGGAGGUAUUAACCCCUUCAGUGCCGGAGCUAACGCGUUAAGUGCACCGCCUGGGGAGUACGGCCGCAAGGCUAAAACUCAAAGAAAUUGACGGGGGCCCGCACAAGCGGAGGAGCAUGUGGCUUAAUUCGAUGCAACGCGAAGAACCUUACCUGGGCUUGACAUGUAACUGCACGCCCCGUGAAAGCGGGGUUCCUUCGAGGGUGUUACACAGGUGCUGCAUGGCUGUCGUCAGUUCGUGCCGUGAGGUGUUGGGUUAAGUCCCGCAACGAACGCAACCCUUGUGGUUAGUUGCCACCGUCGGUGAUAAGCCGACGAGCACUCUAGCCAGACUGCCCGUACAAGCGGGAGGAAGGUGGGGAUGACGUCAAGUCAGUAUGGCCCUUACGUCCAGGGCUGCACACGUGCUACAAUGGCCGGUACAGAAGGAUGCAAUGCCGCGAGGUGGAGCAAAUCCCCAAAACCGGCCUCAGUUCGGAUUGUAGUCUGCAACUCGACUACAUGAAGUUGGAUUCGCUAGUAACGGCGUAUCAGCUACGACGCCGUGAAUACGUUCCCGGGCCUUGUACACACCGCCCGUCACAUCAUGGAAGCCGUCUGGACCCGAAGUCGCUGAGCCAACCCGCAAGGGAGGCAGGUGCCUAAGGUCUGGGUGGUAACUGGGAUGAAGUCGGAACAAGGUA
rnacentral:rRNA from 1 species